rnacentral:other from 1 species
GAUACCCUGCCAUGUACGUGCUGACUUGGUAAGUUUUGAGCCAACACCAAAUUCCAGGGGACCUAAUAAUUUAGAUGUGGCUUGCAGGCCUCAAGAGGUGUCUCGAGGAAGCAAAAAGCAUCUAUGAGGGUGCCCACUUGUAAAAUGGGGUUCAAAAUUUCUCAAACUCACACGGCGUGCGCGGGGUUUCU